GAUGAACGCUGGCGGCAUGCCUAAGACAUGCAAGUCGUACGAGGAGGCCCAUUGAAGAUGAUGUGCUUGCACUGAUUUGGAUUUGGAUUCCCUCCUAGUGGCAAACGGGUGAGUAACACGUGGGUUACCUACCUCUAAGUUGGGGAUACCAGUUGGAAACGACUGUUAAUACCGAAUGUGCUCUACGGAGUAAAGAAGCCCUUAAAGCUUCGCUUGGAGAUGGGCCUGCGGCGCAUUAGCUAGUUGGUGAGGUAAUGGCUUACCAAGGCGACGAUGCGUAGCCGAACUGAGAGGUUGAUCGGCCACAUUGGGACUGAGACACGGCCCAG
rnacentral:rRNA from 1 species